rnacentral:lncRNA from 1 species
CUGUUUGUCUCCAACCUUCUCCAGUCUACCUGGAGGUUGCUGCAGUCAAGGGCACAGAAAAAUAUCAUGGCGUCCUCCACAUGCUCUGGGACCUUGGGAUUCCAAGCUGCUGACUCAGGCAGACACGUAGGCAUCUCUGCUCUCAACACCUUGGUGGAGGGAAACUGCUGGACUGCUACUCCAGAGACCCUGAAGAGCAAGAACGGAAAGCAGGGGCUCCUCACCUCUCAGAUGUCACACGGACCUGGAGUGCUGACUCUCCCUCUGGCCUCUCUGAGGCUCCCUGUAGAGGACUCAGGCAUCAGUACCCUAGGACUCCGGAUUAAGAGGUAGACAGAUCUUUGUGAGUCCAAGGCCACCCAGAUCUACACAAGAGUGAAUCAGCCUGAAAGAGAAUUAUAGCUCACACCUUUAAUCCCAGGACUCAUGAGAGGUAUAUAAGACAGGAGCAAGGACUCAGUAUCAGGCAUUCAUUCUCCAGCCACACUGAGGAAAGGCAGCAGUCUGAGGCUUGGUGAAGAGCUCGUGCAUGGAUCAGCCCUUUCAGCCUGAGAUAGAG